GCCAUGAGAAGCUAACAAGCAUUGGUCUUGUAAACCAAAGACAAGAAAUUCAAUUUCUCCAUGGCA
rnacentral:tRNA from 1 species